UCGGGAUUUAAUGCCUUAUUUCUACUAAAAAAAUCACAUGUUACAGUCUUGAAAGACAACAUUAUAUUUCAUUUCAUACACUUAACAAGAUAAACUUGCACAUAUACGUCGUUGGUAGCUAAUAUCGGAUUAACAAAAUACAGUAUUCUGCAUUUAAAUGCAUUGCAACCAGUGAUGUUUUGCUCGCACAAGGGGGCGUGGUCGUUUUUUGUUUUGACUUUAACCAAAUAUUGCAGAAGAACAAUACAGGAAACUCAGGCCAUUUAACAUGGCGAGCGCUGGCGACACAUGACUGCAGCGAUCCUCGCGGCUCACCCUUAAGAACGCCCCGCCCGCGAAAUUCAAAUUUCCGUGUAUUAUAAUGGGCGAUUUGGGCACAUUUUUUCUCUCGUCUUUUGAAAACUUGUUGUCAUCGUGAAAUGAACUUACCAUCCUUGUAUUUGUAUAAAAACAGUGUUUCAUAACCAGAACACGUUUUUUACAAUCUACAAAUAUUUAUUGACUAUUGGGCAGUCCCCACUCCUUCUAUGUAUAUUUUUAUUUAUUUUCUGAGCUCGGAACUUAACCUUUUACUUCAGCUUACAGAAUUAAUACUUGAGUAUGAUGGGUGAUACCACAGAGGUGAAGAAAAUGUUUAAUCUGUGGUGUUGAUGACUCGUUGACAUAUUUAAAACUAAUUUGAACUAAAACCCUUGAACACUAAAUACAUUAAAAUAAAUGAGCCAACAACAAAUGACUCCUGUUGCUGAUAAACUGUAAAUGAUAUGGUCAGUAUGCUAUGGAACCCUAGACUAUAGUAUACUGGUAGGAAUGCAGUUAGAAAAAGAAAUAACAAGAGAAUUAUGAUGAAAAAAAAAAUUAAUGGUGGAAGAUUUAUUAUUUAAAAUUAAGAGCAGUCUGGAUGAAAAUAUAGUUUUGAAGGUGGAAAUGGUAGAUAUAUAAAAUGACUAUAAACAGGAGGCAAAACACAGCAAACACUUUCACUAACAACAAAACACUGACACUGAAAACCUUGAAAAUCUUAUUUAAACAGUAUUAAGAUUAAUAAACAUGAAAAUCUUACAACAAGUUUACAAUUCUCUUUGGUGUAUGACGUAGUUGAGGAUUAGUAAAGAAUUUAUUAUAUUUUACAGGCUUUAUUUCUGAGCAAAAACAAUAUAUUAUAAUUAUUUUGAAUAUUUAAAAUUUACAUGUGAUCAAUCCCUUCUGGAGUCUAAUUGUAGCUAAACUCAUUGGGAGAUACGGAGGCACAGAUAAAUUACAAAUGUUUGUUGAUACUUUAAUCCAGUUUAACCUAAAAGAGAUAGUUUUAACGAAAACAGAAAAUAAUAGUUACUUAAGGCACACGGCAUUACUCAGUAGAAGCAAUUUUUAAUCGAUCUGAAGGACCACUGAGUGUUCGGAAAACGUACCUCUCUUUAAAAACAGCCAAAAAUAUUUGAUCUUCGUUCCAAAUAAUGUUUAAGGUUACAAAGUUUACGUGACGGUACAGUUCAACAAUUAACGCGGGCGUAAAAUCACUUUUGCUAUAAGCCCCUUGCUUAGUACAAUGGCGACGCUAUUUGCUUAUGGCGUACCUUUACUAGUGAAACUCAAGUAAAUUUGCACCUAAAAUAAUUUGCUUAGUACCAGAACAACUUUACUCACUGUCGAUGUCUGGGUCGAGAUGCACAAUUUUACAUUACACCAUAUAAGCAACAAUACACGAUAACCAUAUUUUAUAGCUUUUAAAACACCAAGGCGUUAGGCCUCAGCCUAUACGUGGUAACGCCAAAAAAAACCUUUUCAACUUAAUUUUUAAUCUACUUCCUGUUCCGGUGCUGCCGAAUCCCGUGAAGACCCUGUCUGGGAGAUCCAGAGCAGCAUCUCAUGGCCUUCGGUCACAACAAUAGUGUUAAAUCACAGGUAAGUAAUAUCUCGAAAAACAAUAAGAUUCCAAAUAAAAAAUGUGAACAGGAUGAAACAUACAUGGAAAAUUAGUAGGACUUCCAACAAUACAUAGGAAAAAUAAGUUCAUAAUAAUAAGGUUCAAAAUACUUAUUAUAAGUUCUUGUUUUCAGGUUAGACCUAUAGUGUUUUUCAAGUUAAGGUAAUACAACAAUAGCGUGCUCGUAAAAAUGCAUUGACACGAGAGAAGGUUAAUUCAAACAAUAGGAAAGUAUAUAAAUAAUACUGAAAAUACAUUUAAAUAAGAAUUAAAUGUCUGUACGGACACUAUGUGGUAGUACAGAAGCUGUCCCAUGGGGUAACAAUAAAACGCAGUGGACACGAACUACGUGGCCGCCGGUUUAGUGAUAGCCUAUCUGUCUCUGUCUUAUGUAGCAUGCGCUUCAGGUUCCCGCGCGACGGUUGAGAAUUGGCGGAGGGGUGGGGGUAACUGGCGCGCGACCGGCGACCAACCCAGUGCUGGCGCUCGGAGUGACUCGUUGUCUCCCGCCGGCCGUCCUCGAAGCAACACCUCGCUGCUCCGCGCUCCAGAAAUGGCGCGAAAACUCCGUCGUCUCGUCGUCGUGCUGGUGGUAAGGUGUUGGGAGGGUAUCUAGCAUCAGGCAGGCUCAGGACACUGGUGUGACCACGGCGUUGUGGUGUGCCGAUCCACGCCGGGGCAGAUGGCAACGUCCUCUCCACGCCAUCGCGGAGGGUGCCUGCUACCGAGAGGGCAGCAGCACGUGCCGUGCCGGGGUCACCCGCGCUCGUGGGGACGAGCGGCUGCCGGCGGCGGGUCCUGACAGGCGGUCCGCAGGGCAGCCCUAGAGCCGUCCCAGACGGGGACCAGUGGUGUACAGCAGGGGGUGGACGGAGGUCCCAUGCUGACGCAGCUGCGUCAGCGGACGUGGCGUCGACCGGACGUCCCGUUAGAGCGGGUCCAGCUCCGUCGUCGCACCGCUAAGUACAUGGCCGUGUCCUACACUCGUUUUCACUUCCGCACUAAGCACAUGACAGGCGUGUCUCUAGUAUCUCGCGGUCCCAUAACUUACUCCAUAAAUAAUCAUAACAAUGUUCUGUGCUUACUGGUUGCUUUCUGGAUUCGCCCUCACUGUCGCAUUGGUGUAAGACAACAAUAGGGAUGUGAUCACAUACAAAAAAAAAUUAUCAUUAUUAUGAAAAAUAUGAAAUUAUUAAGAAUUCCUAUAAUUAAUUAUCAUUGACUUAUGAGAAUACAGUAUAGUAUGCAACAAUCACAUAACAUCUUAUUACUUCUUAAACACUCAUAUUUUGCUAUAAUUAUUAAAUAUGAUAGGAAUACACUAUUUACACAAUGGUACUGCUAGUUUUAUUCUUGGUUAACUAGUCUUUCAGUUGUACAGUGGUUUAACUGUCUUGCUGGCUUUGUUUACCUAUAGUACUCUAGCCUUGGUACUGUACUAUAAUACUAUAACUUGUUACCAUAAAACUUGCAAUUACAAUAUAAAUACUUAUCAGGGUUGGUUGGCAUUUUUUUUUCUUUCAGAAAAGUUAUUAAAAUUGUUUUCAUUCUAAUUAUUAUCCUUAGACAUCAUGAUAAUAUAGUAUACAAUUGCUAUUCAGCUUAUUUUACUGACAUAUAACAGUCUUGUGAUUUGAAUCAUAACAAACAUAAAAUAUUUACAAUACUUAAAAUGUUUAAACAGCAUAUUGUUUACUAUUAGCUGAGUAAACUUGUUGACUACUAAUGCAAUUAGCAGUAUUAUUACAAAUUUUAUAACAUAUUUUAAGAGUUUUUUUUUUUUGUUUUUACAAUUUGAUCUCAGUGAUUUUGGUUUUGUUUACAUAUGGAUAUAUCACUUUCAUGUGAUGUUAGGUGUUCAUACAUCACAAAUCAAAAUUAUUUAUUACAUGGAAAACAAUUCUAAGAGAUUAUUAAAUAUUAACAUAACACAAGAAAAAUAUUUACACACAAAAAUAACCAGUUGAAAAAUUAUAUACAUACUUAAGCUUAUACAUAAUCAAAUAUUAUCAUUUCUUAUGAUAUCUUGACAUUUAUUAUUAGUAUUCAAGACUAGUAUUAUUAUUUCUUAUGAUACCUUGACAUUUAUUAUUAGUAUUCAAGACUAGUAUUAUUAUUUCUUGCCAGAUGAAUAAUAAUUUAUAUACAGUCUUUGAAAGGUUCAGUAUUCUCUCUUGAAUAUGGUGAGGCUUUCAGCUGAUUGUUUACAGUCUCUCACUCUGUUACUCUGGACACAGCUGCACAGUAGAUUACUUGCAGAAUGCUGUUGUCUUGUUAUGUAGGCUGUCAACUACUGGCUGAUGCAGAGUCUCAUAUCAUUUCAAGAAUGUUCAUGAUCUUCCAGUCAGGUGUUACACCUAUUUACACUGACAUAUAAAAAUUUCUUGCACUUUUAUACAUUUGUCACACUUCUGUUACAGUGACUUCAUACAACAACUGGGCAGCAUAAGAGCAGACUUUCUCUCGCAACACCAGUGUUCCUUGCUACUGUGGAUAACAACUCAGAAGACAAUCACAUCAUCAUGUGCUGCUGAACAACAGUGACGUCACUCGCGUGACAGUGUGAUCCUCAAGAUGACAGUGCUUCGAAUUAUGUGUUACACAUCAAAAAUAAUAUUUGGCGUUCAUAAAAUUAAUUUGUGCCCAUAAUUUAUAAAAUCAAAUUCCAAAAUAAAUCAGUUCCAAUGCA